rnacentral:rRNA from 1 species
GCUCAGGACGAACGCUGGCGGCGUGCCUAAUACAUGCAAGUAGAACGCUGAAGACUUUAGCUUGCUAAAGUUGGAAGAGUUGCGAACGGGUGAGUAACGCGUAGGUAACCUGCCUACUAGCGGGGGAUAACUAUUGGAAACGAUAGCUAAUACCGCAUAACAGCAUUUAACCCAUGUUAGAUGCUUGAAAGGAGCAAUUGCUUCACUAGUAGAUGGACCUGCGUUGUAUUAGCUAGUUGGUGAGGUAACGGCUCACCAAGGCGACGAUACAUAGCCGACCUGAGAGGGUGAUCGGCCACACUGGGACUGAGACACGGCCCAGACUCCUACGGGAGGCAGCAGUA